GCCUGGGUGGCUCAGUCGGUUAAGCGUCUGACUUCAGCUCAGGUCAUGAUCUCCUAGUCCGUGAGUUCAAGCCCCGCGUCGGGCU
rnacentral:tRNA from 1 species